GCAGGUGGGAUCUUAGGAGAAGUCUCAAAACCCAUCAGGUUCUUGAGAUCCACAGCACCCAAAACUCAUCUCUGGGGAUGCAGCUCCAGGAGAAGGAGGGAAUUGUCUCAGGAGACUCAGAGGCACCACAUCAAACCCUCUGCUCCUCCACCUGAGGAUGGAGUCACCCAGGCCUGAGCAGAGGUGGCUCCUUGGUUGCCCAGCUGGCCACCAGAACAGUGCUGUGGCCUUUGGAACCUGCAGAUCUCAGAGGGUUCCUCUGGUUCCCACUGUGAGAAAUUCACCUCUGCCUCCUUAUCUGGCCCUUAAAUAUCUUCAGAGAUUUUCUCAGGCGUUGCUUUGCCCAGGUUUUGGAGGAUUAAACGCACCAAGUUCCUGGAGUCUGGGACAGCUCCUUUUUGUGGAUCAGAGCUGUACCCAGCCUCUCAGCUCAGUGAGAUCCUUGUGCAUCUCCUGGGAUCUCUCCCCUCCCAUCAUUUUGGGCUGAUUCACUCUUCCCACACAGCUCAGAUCUUCACUGGGAGGUCCUCAGAGCUUUAUUUCAAUCCUUAAGAUUCCAAAUUGUCCACGUUUCCCCUUCAGUUGGGGCCAUCAGCAGGUUUGAACAGGGAAUUUCACCAGAAAACCCCUCCACACACUUUCUUCUCUUUUUUAUGGUUGUUAAUGAAAAUAUCAAAUAUUGCUUUCCAUGUGGGUUUGGAAGGAAUUGGCUCCUCGGGUUGUCACCCAUCCCUGCUCAAUUCCUUACCUGCAUUUUCCAUCCCCUCCCUGUCCCUGUGCCCUCCUUUUCCUGCUGUCCAAUCUCCUGCAUUCCCUUUGCCUGAGAAUCCCAUUUUUCUUCCAAAGCCAGGCCCAAUUAUCCUUUGUUUCACCUUUGCUCCACUUUUCCAUCAUUUCCCAUUUACCAACUCCUUCCCUCAUCAUUUUCCUAAAUAAAAUUGGAUUAAUCAACCUUUAAUUACCCAAUCACCAUUUGUAAGUGCCAGGAUUAAUUUUAACGCUAUUCCCCACUAAAAUGCGGAGCAGGGAUCAAAUUUCCCAUAAUUCCUCUCUCCCAAAUCACCAGGAUAAACCACCAAGAGUGGUUUAUCACUUUGGCCCUUCCACAUAAUACAUUUGUGCUUUCUCAGAGCUUUAUUGCCAUUAAGAGGUCAUCAAUUAGUUGGGAAUAACUCCGGGAGCUUCAUUAAUUCCCUUCCUGGGUGUGGGUGGAAAAGGCGACCUGGAUAAGGCCAUGGUUUUCCUGGAUGUACUCAUCCAUCCUUGGAGAUUGGAUGUCUUUUCUCCUCCUCACAG